rnacentral:rRNA from 1 species
AUGGAGAGCCCUGAUUCCGAGUUAUGGCUUGAGGCCAUGAGAUCUGAAUUAAAGUCCAUGGAUGACAAUCAAGUUUGGAACUUGGUUGAUCUGCCAGAUGGCGUUCGAGCCAUUGAGUGCAAGUGGAUCUUUAAGAAGAAAACUGAUAUGGACGGAAAUGUCAUAGUCCAUAAGUCUCGGCUUGUUGCUAAAGGAUAUCGACAAGUUCAAGGAGUUGACUACGAUGAGACUUACUCACCGGUAGCGAUGCCUAAAUCAAUUCGGAUCAUUCUUGCUAUAGCGGCAUAUUUCGACUAUGAAAUAUGGCAGAUGGAUGUCAAAAUGGCUUUCCUUAAUGGAAAUUUAACCGAGGAUGUGUAUAUGACACAACCCGAGGGUUUUGUCGAUCCAAAGAAGUCUAGCAUGGACAUAUUAUUGAUUGGAAAUGGUGUUCAAAUGCUUGAAUCAGUCAAGGACUCAUUGAAAAAUAGUUUUUCUAUGAAGGACUUGGGAGAAGCAGCUUACAUUUUGGGAAUCAAGAUCUAUAGAGAUAGAUCGAGAAGGCUUAUUGGAUUAAGCCAGAGUGCGUAUAUUGACAAGGUGUUGAAGCGGUUCAACAUGCAAGAUGCCAAGAAAGGUUUCUUGCCCAUGUCACAUGGCAUUAGUCUUAGCAAGACUCAGAGUCCUACGACUCCUGAUGAGCGAAGACGCAUGGAUGGGAUUCCGUAUGCUUCGGCUGUUGGGUCCAUCAUGUAUGCUAUGGUAUGUACUCGUCCCGAUGUUAGUUUUGCUCUUAGCGUGGUGGGCAGAUACCAGGCUGAUCCGGGGGAGAGUCACUGGACAACGGUUAAGAAUAUCCUUAAGUACUUGAGAAGGACUAAAGAUAUGUUCCUGGUUUAUGGAGGUGAGGAUGAGCUCAUUGUAAAUAGUUACACCGAUGCUAGUUUCCAAACAGAUAGGGAUGAUAGUCGAUCGCAAUCUGGGUUUGUGUUCAUUCUGAACGGAGGAGCAGUGAGCUGGAGGAGCUCCAAGCAAGAUACAGUAGUUGAUUCUACAACAGAGGCCGAGUACAUUGCGGCUUAUGAAGCUGCAAAAGAAGGUGUUUGGGUGAAGAAUUUUAUUUCUGAUCUUGGUGUGGUUGAGGGCGCGUCUAAUCCAUUGGACCUCUAUUGUGAUAAUAGUGGUGCCAUUGCGCAAGUCAAGGAACCACAGAACCAUCAUAAACCCAACACAUACUGA